rnacentral:rRNA from 1 species
AUACGGAGGAUGCGAGCGUUAUCCGGAUUUAUUGGGUUUAAAGGGUGCGUAGGCGGAAUAAUAAGUCAGUGGUGAAACCCUGCAGCUUAACUGUAGACUUGCCAUUGAUACUGUUUUUCUUGAGUAUGGUCAAGGCAGGCGGAAUGUGUAAUGUAGCGGUGAAAUGCUUAGAUAUUACACAGAACACCGAUAGCGAAGGCAGCUUGCUGGGCCGUUACUGACGCUGAUGCACGAAAGCGUGGGGAUC